rnacentral:rRNA from 1 species
CCUACGGGUGGCUGCAGUGAGGAAUAUUGGUCAAUGGGCGGAAGCCUGAACCAGCCAAGUAGCGUGCAGGAUGACGGCCCUACGGGUUGUAAACUGCUUUUAUACGGGAAUAACGCGCCUUACGUGUAGGGCUUUCCAUGUACCGUAUGAAUAAGGCCCGGCGAAUUCCGUGCCAGCCGCCGCGGUAAUACGGAAGGUCCGGGCGUUAUCCGGAUUUAUUGGGUUUAACGGGGGAGUAGGCCGCAUGUCAAGCGUGCUGUGAAAUGUCCGGGUGCAACCCGGGCCUUGCAGCGCGAACUGGCGUGCUUGAGUCCGCGGAAAGCAGGCGGAAUUCGUCGUGUAGCGGUGAAAUGCUUAGAUAUGACGAAGAACCCCGAUUGCGAAGGCAGCUUGCUGCAGCGGAACUGACGCUGAUGCUCGAAAGCGCGGGUAUCGAACAGGAUUAGAUACCCUAGUAGUC